GGGGAAUUUUCCGCAAUGGGCGAAAGCCUGACGGAGCAAUACCGCGUGAGGGAGGAAGGCUCUUGGGUCGUAAACCUCUUUUAUCAGGGAAGAAACAAAUGACGGUACCUGAUGAAUCAGCAUCGGCUAACUCCGUGCCAGCAGCCGCGGUAAUACGGAGGAUGCAAGCGUUAUCCGGAAUUAUUGGGCGUAAAGCGUCCGCAGGUGGUUUUGAAAGUUUGCUGUCAAAGCGCGGAGCUUAACUUCGUACCGGCAGUGAAAACUCCAAGACUAGAGUUUGGUAGGGGUCACGGGAAUUCCCAGUGUAGCGGUGAAAUGCGUAGAGAUUGGGAAGAACACCAGCGGCGAAAGCGCGUGACUGGGCCUGAACUGACACUCAUGGACGAAAGCUAGGGGAGCGAAAGGGAUUAGAUACCCCUGUAGUCCUAGCCGUAAACGAUGACAACUAGGUGUUGCCCGUAUCGACCCGGGCAGUGCCGUAGCCAACGCGUUAAGUUGUCCGCCUGGGGAGUACGCACGCAAGUGUGAAACUCAAAGGAAUUGACGGGGGCCCGCACAAGCGGUGGAGUAUGUGGUUUAAUUCGAUGCAACGCGAAGAACCUUACCAAGGCUUGACAUGUCGCGAACCUUUGUGAAAGCAGAGGGUGCCUUCGGGAGCGCGAACACAGGUGGUGCAUGGCUGUCGUCAGCUCGUGUCGUGAGAUGUUGGGUUAAGUCCCGCAACGAGCGCAACCCUCGUUUCUAGUUGCCAUCAUUAAGUUGGGCACUUUAGAGAGACUGCCGGUGACAAACCGGAGGAAGGUGGGGAUGACGUCAAGUCAGCAUGCCCCUUACGCCUUGGGCUACACACGUACUACAAUGCUACGGACAAAGAGCCGCAAGUUCGCGAGGACAAGCAAAUCUCAUAAACCGUGGCUCAGUUCAGAUUGCAGGCUGCAACUCGCCUGCAUGAAGGCGGAAUCGCUAGUAAUCGCAGGUCAGCAUACUGCGGUGAAUACGUUCCCGGGCCUUGUACACACCGCCCGUCACACCAUGGAAGUUGGCCACGCCCGAAGUCGUUACUCCAACCGUUCGCGGAGGAGGAUGCCGAAGGCAGGGCUGAUGACUGGGGUGAAGUCGUAACAAGGUAGCCGUACCGGAAGGUGUGGCUGGAUCACCUCCU
rnacentral:rRNA from 1 species